rnacentral:misc_RNA from 1 species
CCUGUGUAUGGGAACGGGCACAUGCCUAUGCCUGUACCUGUGCCUGUUCAUGAUUACGGGUACGGGUACGGACAUGGGCAAGUCCCGGGUUAUCCAGUGCACAUGAAGUUCAAUGAUGAGAACCCAAAUGCCUGCUCUGUAAUGUGAAGAUGGAUGGGAAAAUAAGAGUGUAAAUAAUAAAAUAGAGAAUAAAGAGAGAGAGAGAGAGAGA